AUGGACAGGGACGCCGGGUGCUACUACCUCGGCGGCGGAGGCGGCAACGACUGGGACCUCAACGCCGUCGUGCGCUUCGCCUGCCGCGGCCGCGUCCUCCCGCCGCCGCCCUCGGACGACCCCUUCUCCUCCUUCUUCCCCCCGCCGGCGCCUGUCGUGGAGGACCACGGGAUGCCUGACGCGGCGGCGUUGCUCCCUGAUCCGCCCGUCCACGGGGGCUCUGCUACCGUCGACGAGCUCUCCAUUGCCUUCUUCGCGCCGUCGGCUGCGCUGCCGGCCUCGCCUCAACCGCCGCCGCCGCUGCAGCAGCAGCCAGCGGCGCCAACGAACCAAGAAAUGGUGCCGAUGCAGCAAGACGAGGCGGUGCCGCCUCCGAUGCUGCUGACCGCGGGCGGGCAAGGCCCCGUCGGCGAAGGGUCGAGAUCCAAGAGAAAGAAGAAGGUGGUGAAGAAGGUGGUGAAGCGGGUGGCGGCGGACGGCACGUCGGCGGACCCGUGGGCGUGGCGCAAGUACGGGCAGAAGCCCAUCAAGGGGUCGCCGUACCCGCGCGGGUACUACCGGUGCAGCACCGACAAGGCGUGCGAGGCGCGGAAGAUGGUGGAGCGCUGCCGCGACGACCCCAACUCCUUCAUCCUCACCUACACCGGCGGCGAGCACAGCCACCCCGCCCCCGCCCACCGCAACUCCCUGGCCGGCACCACGCGCAACAGGCAGCAGGCGCCGGAACCUGCUGCCGGACAGAGCGCUCCCGCCGCCAAAGCCAAAGAAGAGUCGUCGGCGGCGGCGGCGGAGCCGAGCCCAGCGCAGUCGACGUCGGGCGGGAUGUCCCCGACGACGCCCCUGCGCACGCCCUCCAUGGAGGAGUACAACCAAGACUCAGAAUUCGACGAGGCCGCCGGCAGCGCAAGUCAGCUGCCCAUGGACGUCGAGAAGGACCGCGAGGAUGAGCUGCUGAAGAUAUUGGAGGGGUGCGUGCACGGCGGCGACUCCAGCAUCGUCGUCGAGGAGACGUUCGUGGUCACGCCGUGGGUCACGGCCCCCGGCGGCGCGGCCGGGUGGAGUUGA
rnacentral:rRNA from 1 species